AAAAACUUUUGAGCUUGUGCUGUCGGCUGAUUGCACCUGCUGAACUGUUAAUCUUCGUUUGAGGAUGCCUCUCCACCAUUGAUCAGAAAUAACUUGUCUCGCCGAAGUUUAAGAACAGAGGAAGCUUUAGUCAAUUAGGAAAAGGACCAUUUGCUGAACCGUCAUAAACGCCAGUUCUUCUUGAUCAACUCCAUGGAUAUUACUGCAAAAUCCUUCGAACCCGCUCAACCCAAGUCAGAGAUGCUUUUUUCAAGCCAAAUGGCUAUACUAUCAAAAAAAGUCUGAUUCAACUAUGGAGUGUUAAGGUGAUCGAUGAUCUAAGGUAUCCGAUCAAUCACUGCCGGGAUCGAAAUCAAUCUGGGUGGAAAGCGAGGGUCUAAGAGUCUGAUUAGAACAAUCAGAACUUUUUUAUUCACGUUCAACCAUAUCAGAGAAGAUGAGAAUGACAAGCACUCCGAUAUUGGAUGAAACAACACAUCAAAAUCGCCUAUGCGAAACAGCCUAUGCGAAAACAGAUAAUCGCCUUAACGAAACAAAACAACUCGAUCCGUAGAUCGAAGAGAAAUAUGUAACAUAAAAAAAAACAAAAGAUAAAACUCUUCCCCCUCUGAAAAAUUUGAAAAAAUGUUGUUCAUAUGUCUUGAUCAACAUUAUUAAUAUAUAAUGGUUUAUGUUUAAUAUAUAAUUUAAUGUGUUAUAAGUUGCUAAUACAUAUCAUAUAUUCUAACAAUAAUUUGUUACACUAAGUUCAUUAUUUGAAAUAAUAAAAUAGAAAACACCUUCGAAAUAUAGAAACAAAUAUUUUUGAUUGUAUAGUUUGUAUACAAUAUAAAAUAAAUUUAUUUCCUUAUAUUCUAAAUUAAGAAAAUACAUGCAUCCUUUUCUUUUAUUGAAAUUCAAAUUUUUUUUUUAUAAAUUAUAAUGAUGUUAACAUUAAAAUUAAAGAUACUAGAGUUGGUCCGCCCGUAGGGCGGGUUAGUAUCUGAAAGAAUUACAUAAAUUUAUUAUCAGUUCUAGUAAAUAUUUCAAAAUGUUUAGCCUACUUUAAUUUAAAUUGAUCUUAAAUUUAACAAAGUGUAUUUUGUUAUUUUUAUUAUAGUAUGUUUAUCUUAAUAUUAAAAGGAAUGAAUUACAAUUUCUUUCAUAUAUGUUUUUUUCUUUAAUUCAAUGAAACUAUUUUCCAAUAAGUGAAUAGUAUAUAUACAACUAGUGCUGUUCAAUUACUAAAAAUUACGAUUAUAUGCGUUGCUAAUAAUUUUUUUAUUGUUUACUUUUUAGCUGUAAAUAUAUAUGACCACUUCUGUUUCUACUUUUUGGUUCUAUAAGUUUGUUUAUGUGUAUUUCUCCUAUAACAACUUUUUAUCUUUUCAAUAUAUAUUUUAAUAAAUAUUUGAUAUGUUUUUAUUUAAAAAUAGAAGAAAUUUCUAUGGUAAACGUGUGUUGAUUUGCAUAAAUUCUGUAAAGCAUAGCAUUUUUAUCUAUAAUUUGUGUUCAUAUGUUUGGAAAUUUCUUUUUAAGUAAGUAUUUUCAAAUUAAUUUUUUUUUCAAAAAGAUAGUAUUCUGUUCUUAAAUCUGAGUGGUCGAGUGUUGGUCGAAUUGUGGCAUUCAGAAAUAAGAAAGUUCUUACCUAUAAGGGUGUAUUCAAUCUAAAAUUUGAGGUGAUUUGAUUUUUAAUGAGGUUUUAGAUGAUUUUAAAGAAUUGCAGAGAAUAAAAUGAUUUUUGUUAAACCAUUCUAGAAUAUCACCUAAAACCAUGAGAUUUGAGUUUUAAUUUUUUUAAAUAAGAAACUCCACCCAAACACUCUUAAUAUCACUUGAAAACUUUAAAACUUCACAACUUAAAAUAUUUUCAAUAACAGUAGAUUUCAGAGUACUUUAUAAAAUGUCAAGUUCAAUAACACUAGAUUUUAAAUGAGCUUUUAAAAUUCAUGUUUCAAUAACAGUGAAUUUGUCAUUUUGACACAAAUAAUUUAAAACUCUCAAUUGAAUACACUCCCUAAAUUCUUAUCUAUACUUGCUCGGCAUUUUCUUGCUUAUAAAUUUUAUAUGGGCCGGAAAAAAAAUACAAAGUUGGAGCCUAUAUUUGCAUUCUCCACCUUAGACCUAAUCUCCUAUAUUAUUCUUUUCUCAUCUAUCAAAAAGCCAUUUUUAAGUCAACGAUGAUGGAGUGAGUUGGUGACCUUUUCCACUGGUUCUCAAGACUCCCAUGGCUCGUAUGCAGCUUCUAGUCUUCAGAAUUCUGCUCCAGUUUCUUCAUAGAGUACCAAUUUCAGCUUCUCAAAGCUUCUUUUAAUUCUCAAUGAAAUCCGACCAACGAUCAACGACCAGCUUCCUCUGAUGGUUUCUUUCCCAAAAAAAUCCGUUCCUGUCACUGAAAGACCGUAACGAAAGGUGAUUCCUGCACUGGAGUUCUGCAGUUUCUCUGAGCAGUGGCUGAAGGCUGAUAUUAAGUUCUGUGAAAACGUCCAAACGAAUGAGCAUGUUCUAGUGGAAGUUGAAAUGCUCGACAAGCUUGAGAAAGAGUUCGGGAGUGUAAGGAUUGAAUACUGAAGAUUGCUCUUGAAGUCUGAAGUAUUUUUGUUUUUGUUUUGAUUUUGGCUUUGGUUUUUUUUAUUUUCGGCUUUGGUCUCAUUAGAGAUGUGUUCUGCUUUGACAGUUGCUUUUAAGUUUUAUUAUGAACAAGUUUGAUUUACAUUGAAGUUUAAUAAAGGUUCUUUGGAGUUUCUCAUUUCUUUGUACAUGUUUAUUAAUGGUUGUGUUAUUCAGGUU